CCCUUAGAUGUUCUGGGCCGCACGCGCGCUACACUGACGAUGGCAACGAGUUUUUCCUUCGCCGAAAGGUGUGGGUAAUCUUUUGAAACAUCGUCGUACUGGGGAUAGAUCAUUGCAAUUUUUGAUCUUGAACGAGGAAUUCCUAGUAAGCGCGAGUCAUCAGCUCGCGUUGAUUACGUCCCUGCCCUUUGUACACACCGCCCGUCGCUACUACCGAUUGAAUGGUUUAGUGAGGACUCCUGAUUGGCGCCGCCGCCCCGGCAACGGAGCAGCGGACUGCCGAAAAGUUGUUCAAACUUGAUCAUUUAGAGGAAGUAAAAGUCGUAACA
rnacentral:rRNA from 1 species